UUUAUUUUAUCUGUCAACCUCGCCCGUCAAAGUCGGUGGGCGGAUCCUAACACCUGAUUGGUUACCCUGCACAUCAUGUCAAGGCAAAUCGAUUCCAGGUAAUGGAUUGAUGCAGAGCUUGUGAACACAUUCCGAUACACUGGGUGGCGCUAUUCACCUCUACGUUGGUUUGGAUUAAACAAAACUUUAUUGGCAACCGCUAAAGACUCGGUCCUCUACCCCAAAUGUUGAUACAGCGCGGUGCAAGACAAAAUUUCCUUUAGCAUUUCCUUUAGCACCUACUCGGCGCGGCACGGCUCGCCACUACUGUACUGGACUCGGCUUAGUUGUUUUUCCAUCACAUUGAGUACCACCUCAUCGUGGGUGGAGUCGUCAUAGCACGGCGGACCGAAAGUCCCUUACCGUCAUUUGUGUGCGACACAAACGCAACACAACAACAGACAUGGAGGCGAUGGUUCACCUGCGGCUCGGUCUGUGGCUUUCUGUCAGAUUCAAAGUAAUAGAAGAGUCGGAGAAAGCUGAGAGCGGCGAGUGGAAACACUGAGGAGACACACAGGAGAGUUUGGGAGACGAGCAGCAGUAUCAAGUUGAAGACAAGAGGAUAUGAACUAUGAUAUGAGGGUCCCUCUCUAUCUCCCCACACAUCCACCAACCACUGGAACACAUCUCCAAAGUUCUGCCGGGCCAGCUCAGCUUCCCCUCAGAAGAAGUUCCACCAGAUGAAGGAGCCUUUUGAGAGGCAGCUGACAUCGUGAUUGGACUGUACUUUGGUCUGUUCCAAUCCAGCUUCAGCUCCAGAGACGGCAGGCGGGACGAGUCAACGGAGGCCGGGUGGACGAAGGCAUGCAGCUGAGUACAAUCCAGAAAACAACAGAGGAGGAGUGCAGUGGCCCAGGGCCAGAACAAACAGAGUAGCAUCGUAUGUCUCUGAGAAAAUAUCAUAGUAUAGCCUUUGGUAUGAAAAAACGCCAUCAUAUACAUCGUAUAUUGUACAAAUAAGUCAAAGGAAAGAGACAUACAUUGUAGAAUUGUAGUAAUUGUGGGCUGACUGAUUUUCUGAUUAAAGUAUUUUAUUUUUUACUGAUUUACGGUAAUAAAUACAUUUAAAAAUGGUG